UGAUGAUACCGUACCGUGAUCGCGACCACUAGAUUCUGUGUUUAUUAUGACCACGGCCACCCGGUGCAGGUGUAUCAUAACAUCAUCGUCUCUCAGACGUACUUACUCACUAGUAGUACACUCCGUACUACUGAGCUACGAGCUGUGCAACCAUUCUGUAUGUGUACGUACGGCCAGGUUUCGACAGUGUAACUACCUUUUUUGCCUUUUCGUCACUGUGCAUGUGAUCUAAAGUAUUAGGCUGCAGCUCUUGAGACUGGACAUUCUUUUUUUUUAACUAAGAUGGGGAACUGUUUGUCAGGUGGAGAGCCUCGGAGGAGUGGUAGUAAUGGAGGUGGAGGACAGACAAGGAUUCGCACACACAUGCUCUUUCCACCCAAGACCUCUGGUGGUGCCAGUCCAAGGUCAUCACCACAGACGCCCAGAAAACUUUGACAAUAUGCUGGAAAAAUUUGAAGAUACGUGCUGUGCUAGCCAGGAUAGCUUUGGAUGGUAGCCUGUUAGUUCACCUGGAAAAAGGAAAGUUUUAUGUGUUAAGUCUCAUAGAAAACAAGCAGUGGGAAUGUGACAUCACCAUGGCAACAAGAAUUGAACAGCUCAUGCAAGUAGUCAACUCUCUUGGUCCCCAACUCUGAUAUUACUUAAUUGAUUUGUAGUGACGUAAUAUGUCUGUAUUCAGAAAAUCAGUAUAAUACGGCCUGGACAAAGCUUAUGUAUACAUGUAUAAGAUAUUCAGUCAUUUAUUUUUACAUAAGGUAGAGAUACAUGUAUAUUGUAUACUUUUUUAAUAUGUACAGUGGCUUAUUUUACAUUGAAAAUGAACAUUAUCAAAUUACUCUUUAUGGAAAUAAAUGUUAGAAAGUAGCUUCCAUAUCAUUAUGUGCAUCAAAAAUGUAUUAAAUUUUUGUGAAAAUCAACUCUCAGAGCAAUAAGGGAGGGAAGGUAGCUUUUAAGAGGAUACACUUCAAAAUAUAUCAGAACAAAUGAUCAAACUCUUCCAUUAAUAAAAUUAGUAAAAAUUAUAGAAAUGGUACAUUUUACUUGGGCAAAUAUAAAUGAUUCUAUAAGCUGUCCAUCAAAAAUCAUUUUGUACUAGAUAUUGAUAAUGAUGUGAACUUAAGACAAUCAGUUGUAAAUUUUGUACUCUGAUUGAUCGAAACGUUAAAAUGUGUAAUACAGCUAUUCAAUUCGGACAUUUUAACACCUCUCUGUAUUUAAAUACUUCUUCUUCUCCCAAAAUGUUUUACUUAGAUUACACUUAUAACUCAAAAUGUUAACUACUAUUACACUAAUAACUCAAAAUAUACUUAUGUUCAGGGGGAAUAUGCAAUCUGGCAAGAGAUUCUUUAAAUUUAUGUAUUACUUUAUUAACUGUCAUUAUGGUACUACUAGACAAUGGAAAAUGUCACCAUUGUGUUAAUGAGCAACAAUUUAAUGAAUGGAAAAGUAUAAUUGUUUUGAAUGUGUGUUCCAUUGAGAGGAAUGCUCAAUGCUAUAAAUGAGUUAAUGAAUGUAAUUAGGAGCUUAUAGGCUUAGAUCACUUAACAUUGCCUUUCAUGUAAAUAGUUAUUGUCUAAUUUACCUCAUAUGUCGCAAUAUUUUUUUCCAAGGCAUUGCCAUGAAUGGAAAUUCAAU
rnacentral:lncRNA from 1 species